AGAUUGUGGUAUGGGCAUUCUUUCUGCAGCUCCUUGAAUCUAUUUGAUGCUUCCUUCAAUGUUUUAUCAGGUUCCUGUUGGAAGGUAGAAAGCUUGUGCCUGAUUUU
rfam:Beta vulgaris subsp. vulgaris chromosome 1, whole genome shotgun sequence.